GAGGGUAUAGCUCAGUGGUAGAGCACGUGCUUAGCAUGCAUGAAGUCCUAGGUUCAAGCCUCAGUACCUCCA
rnacentral:tRNA from 1 species